rnacentral:rRNA from 1 species
CGCUUUUCUGGKUGAUCUGCCAGUAGUCAUACUCUCGUAUCAAAGAUUAARCCAWGCAAGUGUAAGUAUAAGAUACUUUAUSGAAACUGCGGRCGGCUCAUUAUAUCAGUUAUAGUUUAUUUGAUAAUCCCUCACUAYGGGAUAMCCGUAGUAAUUCUAGAGCUAAUACAAGCAUCAAACCGGARCUYUCGGGGRCCUUUUAGUUUAUUAAUAUUAAACCUUCACUCUUCGGAGUUUUGUGAUGAGUCAUAAUAACCUUUGRUCGGCASGCACUCGCCCGGCAAUGGAUCAUUCAAGUUUUUGCCCUAUCAGCUUGGGAKGGUAGUGUAUUGGRCUCCCAUGGCUUUAACGGGUAACGAAUAAUUAGGGCUMGAUUUCGGAGAGGGASCUUGAGAAACGGUUACCACAUCCAAGGAAGGCAGCAGGCGCGUAAAUUMCCCAAUCCUGACMCAGGGAGGUAGGACAAUAAAUACCAAUSCCGGGCCUCACAGGUCUGGYAAUUGAAUGARWCAUUUAWUGUC